AAAAAGGCAAACCGCGGGUUUGCAUGCCAACGUUUGACUGUCCGUCUUAUAUGAAUUUUUUUUAUAAUUAGUAUUUUCAUUGUUGUUAGAUGAUAAAACAUGAUGAACACUUUAUGCGUGACUUAUCUUUUUAAUUUUUUUUUUAUAAUUUUUUCAAAUAAAACGGACGGUCAAACAUUGGACACGGAAACCAGGGUUUGUCUUUUU
rfam:Oryza sativa Japonica Group DNA, chromosome 8, cultivar: Nipponbare, complete sequence.